AAUUUUAUUUAUAAGGAUACACAUUAAUCAACAUUUCUGUAAAUGUGCCAGUGUUAGCCAGCUGGCAAAUUUUUAACUGUAGUCAUUUGGCCAUAUGAUUUUAAACCAUAGCAGGAGA